rnacentral:rRNA from 1 species
GAUGAACGCUGGCGGCGUGCCUAAUACAUGCAAGUCGAGCGAACGGACGAGAAGCUUGCUUCUCUGAUGUUAGCGGCGGACGGGUGAGUAACACGUGGAUAACCUACCUAUAAGACUGGGAUAACUUCGGGAAACCGUAGCUAAUACCGGAUAAUAUUUUGAACCGCAUGGUUCAAAAGUGAAAGACGGUCUUGCGGUCACUUAUAGAUGGAUCCGCGCUGCAUUAGCUAGUUGGUAAGGUAACGGCUUACCAAGGCAACGAUGCAUAGCCGACCUGAGAGGGUGAUCGGCCACCCUGGAACUGAGACACGGUCCCGACUCCUACGGGAGGCAGCAGUAGGGAAUCUUCCGCAAUGGGCGAAAGCCUGACGGAGCAACGCCGCGUGAGUGAUGACGGUCUUCGGAUCGUAAAACUCUGUUAUUAGGGAAGAACAUAUGUGUAAGUAACUGUGCACAUCUUGACGGUACCUAAUCAGAAAGCCACGGCUAACUACGUG